rnacentral:rRNA from 1 species
CAGCCGCCGCGGGAAAACGGAGGAUCCGAGCGUUAUCCGGAAUUAUUGGGUUUAAAGGGUGCGUAGGCGGAUAGAUAAGUCAGUGGUGAAAGACGGUGGCUCAACCAUCGCAGUGCCGUUGAUACUGUUUAUCUUGAAUAUGGAUGAGGUAGGCGGAAUGUGGCAAGUAGCGGUGAAAUGCAUAGAUAUGCCACAGAACACCGAUUGCGAAGGCAGCUUACCAAGGCAAAAUUGACGCUGAGGCACGAAAGCGUGGGGAUCGAACAGGAUUAGAUACCCGCGUAGUCCCUGUCUCUUAUAC